rfam:Ricinus communis cultivar Hale ctg_1100012294019, whole genome shotgun sequence.
GGGUGCGAUCAUUCCAGCACUAAUGCACCGGAUCCCAUCAGAACUCCGAAGUUAAACGUGCUUGGGCGAGAGUAGUACUAAGAUGGGUGACCUCUUGUGAAGUCCUCAUGUUGCACCCC